UACGUAGGGUGCGAGCGUUAAUCGGAAUUACUGGGCGUAAAGCGUGCGCAGGCGGCGCGUUAAGACAGGUGUGAAAGCCCCGAGCUUAACUUGGGAAUUGCGCUUGUAACUGGCGUGCUGGAGUGUGGCAGAGGGAGGUGGAAUUCCACGUGUAGCAGUGAAAUGCGUAGAGAUGUGGAGGAACACCGAUGGCGAAGGCAGCCUCCUGGGCCAGCACUGACGCUCAUGCACGAAAGCGUGGGGAGCAAACAGG
rnacentral:rRNA from 1 species